rnacentral:rRNA from 1 species
GGUCAAAGUGCAGCCAAUAAGCAGAUGACGAUGGGUUACAACCUCUACAUAGACAAUGAAUUAAUUUUUUUAAAAAAUUUAUAAAAGUGGACUUGACUGUAAUUAAUUUCAAAAAAUUUUAAUGGAAAUGAAUCUAAGACAUGCACACAUCGCCCGUCACUCCCACCUAAAGGUGGGAUAAGUCGUAACAAAGUAGGUGUAACGGAAGUUGCACCUGU